rnacentral:rRNA from 1 species
CCUACGGGUGGCUGCAGUGGGGAAUAUUGCACAAUGGGCGCAAGCCUGAUGCAGCCAUGCCGCGUGUGUGAAGAAGGCCUUCGGGUUGUAAAGCACUUUCAGCGGGGAGGAAGGCGGUGAGGUUAAUAACCUCAUCGAUUGACGUUACCCGCAGGAGAAGCACCGGCUAACUCCGUGCCAGCAGCCGCGGUAAUACGGAGGGUGCAAGCGUUAAUCGGAAUUACUGGGCGUAAAGCGCACGCAGGCGGUCUGUCAAGUCGGAUGUGAAAUCCCCGGGCUCAACCUGGGAACUGCAUUCGAAACUGGCAGGCUAGAGUCUUGUAGAGGGGGGUAGAAUUCCAGGUGUAGCGGUGAAAUGCGUAGAGAUCUGGAGGAAUACCGGUGGCGAAGGCGGGCCCCUGGACAAAGACUGACGCUCAGGUGCGAAAGCGUGGGAGCAAACAGGAUUAGAUACCCGUGUAGUC